rnacentral:rRNA from 1 species
AGAGCACUCUAAUGAGACUGCCGGUGACAAACCGGAGGAAGGUGGGGAUGACGUCAAGUCCUCAUGGCCCUUAUGGGUAGGGCUUCACACGUCAUACAAUGGUCGGGACAGAGGGUCGCCAACCCGCGAGGGGGAGCCAAUCUCAGAAACCCGAUCGUAGUCCGGAUCGCAGUCUGCAACUCGACUGCGUGAAGUCGGAAUCGCUAGUAAUCGCGGAUCAGCAUGUCGCGGUGAAUACGUUCCCGGGUCUUGUACACACCGCCCGUCACACCAUGGGAGUGGGUUUCACCAGAAGUAGGUAGCCUAACC